AGCCAGAGGAUACAUUAUAUAAUAUACGCAAAACGACCGAGGCGGCUACCAAGGAAUCAAUGCUAAUCAGGACAAUCAAGGCUGUCCCAGCCACUUAAUCGUUGCGGGUCAGCCUUUUUGGGAAGUGUUUGAUAUAGCAGAGUUAAAAAGUUUUUGGUGACUGUUGGUUGGAAGCUACUUGCUUUUGGUUUGCAUGUCUAUGAUGGAGAUUGCUGGAACUCUUGUGGCUUUAGAGAAAUCGCUUUGCCCAUUGAAUCACCUGGCCAUUUGUCAAAUUGAAUACAAGGAAAUGAGAGUGUCCUGUUGUGGAUUCUUCUUGUAACAAGUCCAUGAGACAUGCCUCGUCCCUGAUGCAAAUGAUGUCUUUGCUGGAGAAAAUGAAAUUGUAAUGGGGAAUAUGUUCCCGGAGAUGAUUCAAAAACGCUAUUGAAAGGACCAAUCACCAUUCAGAAAAUCUCCAGUGAUAAAGAGCCACGAUGUUACACAGAAGAUGGAUCGCUAUUGAAGUUGAAUAUAACAAUCACUUACGGACAUGUUUGAUACGGUGAUGGCUUUGGCUGGCCAACUUUCAGCUGUCAGUGUGUAGCUCUUGAAGGUACUUUUAAUCUUCAAAUCAAUGGCUUGUUGAAUAUCAGAAUAAAGCAACAACGCACUUGUCUGCUGAUUGGCUGGACAGUCCAAUACCUUAGCUCCAGCAAAACAAGAACGGGUAGCCUACAGCUGCUGCUGUAUUGCUCUGUUGUUGUUUUGAUGGUCCCUUGCCCUAGCCUCAUAUUCUUUUCUUCACUUCGUUGGUUAUGUUGCUACUACGAUGCACCCAUCCUCCUUUGAAGUGCUUGCUGCCUAGCUGGAUUCUGCUCGUGGAUGGAUAUUGGCUGCGGUUGCCUUGAACGAGGAGAACAUUGCAACAGUGCUGUAUAUAUAUAUAUAUAUAUAUAUAUAUAUCUGCUGAAAUGCUGCCAGUUUUGUUACUGCAGGGUUACUAGCAGCAUUUUUGCUUGUGUUGCUGCAAACCUCGGGGGUUUGUUCUCAACAUGUACUGCUGGCACUUCUACCGAGUCACGAAGUCCCAUUUCUGGUGCAAGGGCCCGGCCAGAGGAGUAAAUGUUUUCCUCCUUUCACUGCGAUUCUGCAUACCAUUGUGCCUGCCAUACUUGAGGUGGAUCCCAGUUUCAGUUAUGUUUCUACUGCAUUGCUACUUUUGAUAUUGGCGUUGCAGUCCUGUUGCCGCAACUGAUGCUGCUGCUGGUUCUGCUGUGUUUCUUUGGCUAGAUCUUCGGGUUGUUUUGCCCUUCUCUUGCAUUUUCAGCAGUGUUUUGAAACCCGGCCUGCCCGGCAGGUCGACCCGGGAUUGGAACCGGACCAGGUUGAUGAAAAAAAUAGGAUAAGCUAUGACCCGGCGUGACCCGUCCGACCUCGCGGGUUGACCCAGAAACCCGGACAACCCAGCAAAAUCCGGUUGCAACCCGUUGAUUUUUGUUUUUUUAAUUAAAAUGAUGUUUUAAUUUUUAAAAAAAAUAGA